rnacentral:rRNA from 1 species
UACGGAGGGUGCAAGCGUUAUCCGGAUUCACUGGGUUUAAAGGGUGCGUAGGAGGGCAGGUAAGUCAGUGGUGAAAUCCCCCGAGCUUAGCUUGGGAACUGCCGUUGAUACUAUCUGUCUUGAAUACCGUGGAGGUGAGCGGAAUAUGUCAUGUAGCGGUGAAAAUGCUUUAGAUAUGACAUAGAACACCAAUUGCGAAGGCAGCUCGCUACACGAAUAUUGACUCUGAGGCACGAAAGCGUGGGGAUCAAACAGGA